UACGUAGGGGGCGAGCGUUGUCCGGAUUUAUUGGGCGUAAAGAGCGUGUAGGCGGCCAGGUAGGUCUGCUGUGAAAACUCGAGGCUCAACCUCGAGACGUCGGCGGAAACCAUCUGGCUAGAGUCCGGAAGAGGAGAGUGGAAUUCCGUGGUGUAGCGGUGAAAUGCGCAGAUAUCAGGAAGAACACCGGCGGCGAAGGCGGGUCUCUGGGCCAUAACUGACGCUGAGGAGCGAAAGCGUGGGGAGCGAACAGG
rnacentral:rRNA from 1 species